rnacentral:lncRNA from 1 species
AAAUAUCCCCACCAGCUGCGCUGGUAGAAUUUCCAAAUCAUGUCAGCCAGGGUGAGGUGCUGAUGGAUUUGGUGGAAGGAGGGAGGGAGGGCCUGCUGCAGAGACGUCCAAAGGUGUGAUCCUGGCCUCAUAACAGUAGACGAUUCGUAUUUUUAGCUACUCAAACUGCUCUUUCUCAAUCUAUUCUUCUUUCAGAUGAAAAGAAUGUCAGGCAAGGCAGCUGGUGGAUUUCCUGAGAUAGAGGAAGCUGAACAGAAGGACUUCUCAUUGAAGGGUAACAGAAGAGCCACUGCCCUGGGUGAUGAAAGGAGCCCACGUCCUUCUUCGAGACCUUCCCCUGAUGGAGUGGAAAAGACCGCCCUAAAGCCAGAUCCGGUAGGAAAAGAUAACCGUACAGUAGUAGAAUAAUGGACUUGGACUCUUUGAGUUCAGCCCCCUUGACCUUGAGAGACCUCCAGGGAAGGUUCUCUUGGUCUCCUGGGUCUGAAAUCAUUAUAAGGCUCUUGGCUUGUUCAGAUUGAGGCUCAUGUCGUCCAGAAUCCUGUUUCCCUCAGAGUCGAAGCAGAUGUCUUUGGGGAGCUCAUAUCCAAGACGUCAGGAAAUUCGCUCUCUUCUGCUGUUUUUCUGCAGCGACCCUGUAUCCCAGUGUGCAUUGCCUGUGAUCGUACAGAUGCCAUUGGGAAGCAUCAUUCCUUGUCACUGUUCGUUGUCUUAGUCUAUUACUCUAUACGAUGAGGGCUUUUAGUCUUCCUUUUAGGCCUUUUUAAACUCAGGGGUCACACGCAAGAGCACCAGGAGCAGGACUGGAGCAUCCUGAGUCGGGUAGUCCCCUUUCAAGCUGUCCGUCAAAGGAGAAGUGAUUAGAAGGGAGGAGGAAAGACACAAACACACCACUGGUUCUCUCAAAUCACAUUGUUCUUUUCUCAGAACUAGAAAUAGUUCCUGAAGUGGGAAGAAAUGAGGAUGUCGUUGUGAUGAUCGCCCACGUCUCUCAGGCUAUUCUUAUUCAUGAGCUGAUUUGCAUGAGCCUAUGAGAGGACUGGAGAGGCAGAGUCAGCAGCUGCAUGGGGAUUGGCAGGAGAGAGAAACUGAGGUAGAGAUUGGGAUGAGGUCUAUAUAGAGUUAGGAGUGGUUAGUUAGAGAGAGGGAACAGAUACAGAGUGAUAAGGCUGGUUAAGAAAAUAGGUAGAUAAUGAUAUGACAAGAGAAAAGUAUGUAUAGUGCUGCCUCGACUUACAGACGUACUGAC